rnacentral:rRNA from 1 species
GAUGAACGCUGGCGGCGUGCCUAAUACAUGCAAGUCGAGCGAACGGACGAGAAGCUUGCUUCUCUGAUGUUAGCGGCGGACGGGUGAGUAACACGUGGAUAACCUACCUAUAAGACUGGGAUAACUUCGGGAAACCGGAGCUAAUACCGGAUAAUAUUUUGAACCGCAUGGUUCAAAAGUGAAAGACGGUCUUGCUGUCACUUAUAGAUGGAUCCGCGCUGCAUUAGCUAGUUGGUAAGGUAACGGCUUACCAAGGCAACGAUGCAUAGCCGACCUGAGGGGGUGAUCGGCCACACUGGAACUGAGACACGGUCCAGACUCCUACGGGAGGCAGCAGUAGGGAAUCUUACGCAAUGGGCGAAAGCCUGACGGAGCAACGCCGCGUGAGUGAUGAAGGUCUUCGGAUCGUAAAACUCUGUUAUUAGGGAAGAACAUAUGUGUAAGUAACUGUGCACAUCUUGACGGUACCUAAUCAGAAAGCCACGGCUAACUACGUG